rnacentral:rRNA from 1 species
AACGCGAAGAACCUUACCUACUCUGGACAUCCAGAGAACUUAGCAGAGAUGCUUUGGUGCCUUCGGGAACUCUGAGACAGGUGCUGCAUGGCUGUCGUCAGCUCGUGUUGUGGAAUGUUGGGUUAAGUCCCGCAACGAGCGCAACCCUUAUCCUUUGUUGCCAACGAUUCGGUCGGGAACUCAAAGGAGACUGCCGGUGAUAAACCGGAGGAAGGUGGGGAUGACGUCAAGUCAUCAUGGCCCUUACGAGUAGGGCUACACACGUGCUACAAUGGCGUAUACAAAGAGAAGCGAACUCGCGAGAGCAAGCGGACCUCAUAAAGUACGUCGUAGUCCGGAUUGGAGUCUGCAACUCGACUCCAUGAAGUCGGAAUCGCUAGUAAUCGUAGAUCAGAAUGCUACGGUGAAUACGUUCCCGGGCCUUGUACACACCGCCCGUCACACCAUGGGAGUGGGUUGCAAAAGAAGUAGGUAGCUUAACCUUCGGGAGGGCGCUUACCACUUUGUGAUUCAUGACUGGGGUGAAGUCGUAACAAGGUA